GACGAACCGUGCGAACGUUGUUCGGAAUCACUGGGCGUAAAGCGCACGUAGGCGGGUCCUUAAGUCAGGGGUGAAAUCCUGGAGCUCAACUCCAGAACUGCCUUUGAUACUGAAGAUCUCGAGUCCGGGAGAGGUGAGUGGAACUGCGAGUGUAGAGGUGAAAUUCGUAGAUAUUCGCAAGAACACCAGUGGCGAAGGCGGCUCACUGGCCCGGUACUGACGCUGAGGCACGAAAGCGUGGGGAGCAAACAGG
rnacentral:rRNA from 1 species